rnacentral:rRNA from 1 species
CCUACGGGAGGCAGCAGUGGGGAAUAUUGGACAAUGGGCGAAAGCCUGAUCCAGCCAUGCCGCGUGUGUGAAGAAGGUCUUCGGAUUGUAAAGCACUUUAAGUUGGAGGAAGGGCAGUUACCUAAUACGUAAUUGUUUUGACGUUACCGACAGAAUAAGCACCGGCUAACUCUGUGCCAGCAGCCGCGGUAAU